UAUAAAUUGAAUCAGUUUUCC
rnacentral:piRNA from 1 species